rnacentral:rRNA from 1 species
UGGGGAAUAUUGCACAAUGGGCGCAAGCCUGAUGCAGCAACGCCGCGUGAAUGAUGAAGGCCUUCGGGUCGUAAAGUUCUGUCCUAUGGGAAGAAGAAGUGACGGUACCAUAGGAGGAAGCCCCGGCUAACUACGUGCCAGCAGCCGCGGUAAUACGUAGGGGGCAAGCGUUAUCCGGAAUCAUUGGGCGUAAAGGGUGCGUAGGCGGCUGAGCAAGCCAGAGGUAAAAGGCAAUAGCUUAACUAUUGUAAGCCUUUGGAACUGCUUAGCUUGAGUGCAGGAGAGGAAAGUGGAAUUCCUAGUGUAGCGGUGAAAUGCGUAGAUAUUAGGAGGAACACCAGUGGCGAAGGCGACUUUCUGGACUGUAACUGACGCUGAGGCACGAAAGCGUGGGGAGCGA